AAGCCAAGAAAAGCAGUGAAAUGUAAACACUGUGGAUGAAGUUAAAACUAAAAUAAAUUAUGGGAAUUUGUUUUCCUUAGUGGCUAAACAGCUCAGACGUUUUGACCAAUGCAUGCCAUGAUAAUGCUUUUGUCGAGAGAUAGUUGUUAGUUACACAUACACACACACUAACACCUUUAAAGCUAUAUCAUAGAUUUUGAUGGACCAGACUGGUAGUUUCUUAUAAUGGCACAGAUUUUCACAAAACAGCGUUCUGCCUUACCAUGCUGUUGAAGACAUGUGAAAUAUUGUUGGAAGCCUCUUUUUUGUUGUUGAUAGAGAUUGUUCCCUGUGUGAUGGUAGCUAGCUACAGUACUGUCCCAUUGACAUUUGGGAAUGCAAAGCUUUUAAUACACAAAGGGUAGCAGUACUUCAGCCAAUCUGUGAUAAAAGGGGGGAAAUGAGAUCACUAUGGAAACGGCAGGGAGAAUCUAAAAGGUUUCUUUAUAAAGUAAACGUCUGAUGUUUGUGACUGCGGGGGCAAGAAAUUCAUAAAACUGGAUGAUGCUAUCAUCUCUGAUUUGUUAUCGCAGCAAAUGCCAAGUGUAAGCAGUCUGACCAGGGCUUUAUUAGGCACUUUCUUUUGCAAAGCUACUUACUAUUCUGAGAGAAGGAGAGAGAUAGAUGGCAGUGCUGCAAGGGAUAUCUCAUUUGUUUAAAUUUUUCAUCAUACUUUUGUCUCUGUGUGUAAUCACACAAACCUCAGGGCUUAUGCAGUCAGAAACACUGUAAGCUUUCCAGAAAUGCAUUCACUCAGCAAGCUGAAUACCCACUGAAUGAGCAAUGUUUCACCCCAUUACGAUUCUGCCUUUGAUUUUAUAUUGAAAAUGUGUGACCUCUGCCUCCAAUCCACACACAAAUAAAUGUGAAAGGGAAGAAAUCUUCAGUUCACAGGGUGCUCAGGACCGAAAGAAAUUGAAGGUGUUUGCUGAUGUUGUGACAGCUCUCUCGCGAACCUGCCUGGACAAGAGACAGCUUCCCCAGAUGAGUUUUCGGAAGACUGGAGUGUGCUGAGACAAUGCAACAGCAUCCCUCGCCCUUCAAAGGCCACGUCAUGCUGGCAUUUAGGUUUUCUUGGUACUUGCCACCAAAGCACUCACAGCAGUAGCGAGACUGACAGUCAUGUAUCUUAUGAACAUCCAGUUACUCUGAACACAUCUGAAAGCUCAGGCAGAAAGAACAUGAUGAUACUCUACGGUUGGCAUUUCCAGUCCAGUAACUUCAACAGAACAAAGCUCACAAGGCAGGUCAGAACUGACAAUGAGACAACUUGAUAGCUUUGGGAAAAUCCGAAUGGGCCUGAAAAAUAAUGAGGGGCCAUAUCUACAUUUCUGCAUCAGAUCAACAUUUAAAAGGCAUUUGAAAGAAUAUUUUUAAUGAAAAUAUACUUGCAGAAUCACAGCAGAAAAGAGUUUGAGGGAAGUGACUUGUGCCAGAACUUGUAAUACUAGGUUUGUCCACUGUUGCCAAUAAAAUUCCAAUGCCAAUAAAACACAUCUCAACUUUUCUAAUCUUUCAUCUCAGACUAAUAUUGUCAUUAUUGAAAUUUGAUUUUAAGAGGGUUUAAAAAAACCCCAAGAAUGUUUUAUUAUGAAGCCUUUAAUUUGGGUCUGUUGAUGAUUUUCUCUGCAGCAAACAUUACAGUAUAGAUAGAACAUAUAUCUUGAAAUCUAAGUACUAACUCUUUUACUAUAACAUUUGUUCUCCUCACCACCACCACCUUCACUUUUUUAAAUACCUCAUUAAUUCUGGAAGCUAUUUGUUGCAGGAGAAGACACAUUAGCAUCUUUACUCAUAAAAAAGGGCACAGUUUAUAUGCUACAGAUUUACACACCGGGAUGAAGGUUAAUUAAGGCUAUCAUUGAAAAACAUGCUCUGAGACCUUGUACAGCAAAAUGUGAAUAAAGCUCAUGUAAUUCUAGGUAUUUCCUGCAUGUGUUUGGUGUAUAUAUUCUGCUAGAUUGAAGAUAUCUUUUGGUAAUUUAUUAAAAUUGUCCUUGAGGAUAUCAGUAAGUGCCUUUAUGAGAAAGCCCGUCACAUUAUGAUAGGAAGGAAAUACUGUUAUUGUAUCCUCAGGUAAUAUUCUCUAGUUAUUAUGCACUAAAAAUAGAUGCAUUUAUUUCCUCUUGUUUUUAUAUUUCUUCUGGGAAAUAUUAUCCAAACCAUUUGAAGGAAGUCAUGCUGAUGAGUAAGAUGUAUGAAAACAACCAGAACAAAAUCUAGGCAAUAUCUAAAAAUAUUCUACCACUUUUUUGUCAUAUUAUUUCCAUCUGUUCUCUAACUUAAAAUGUGAAAACAUCGAAUAUGGAGACAGAAUGCACUCAGGUGCUUUAGCGGAAAAAAAGUGCACCCCAUACUUUUGGCUGAGCUGCUAUGACUUAUCAUGGAUUAGUUGACUCUGAGGGUCUUUGUCAGAAUUAAGAACUAACUCUAGUCUUAUGUAUGCUUAAUGAAUCUGAUGAGGAUUAUUCCCAAUAACUAUGCAUAAUAUUAUAACUUAUCUUUUCAAUAAACUGCAACAAAAGCUCAGCUUAUAACUUAUCUUUUCAAUAAACUGCAACAAAAGCUCAGCAAAUCAGUUUCUUUUACCUUCAUUUCUUUGUUUUCUUUUUUAAAAAAAUGAAUGACUGAAGAAACUUAAGGGGCCCCUGGUGGCUCUGAGCUGCUGAACUUGCUGACCGAAAGGUUGGCAGUUCGAAUCCGGGGAGUGGAGUGAGCUCCCGCGAUUAGCCCCAGCUUCUGCCAACCUAGCAGUUUGAAAACAUGCAAAUGUUGGUAGAUCAAUAGGUACCAUUCUGGUGGGAAGGUAACAACACUCCAUGCAGUCAUUCCAGCCACAUGACCAUGGAGGGGUCUUUGGAUAACGCCAGCUCUUCAGCUUAGAAAUGGAGAUGAGCACCAACCCCCAGAGUCGGACACAACUAGACUUAAUGUCAAGGGAAACCUUUACCUUUACUAAAGUCCCUUAUUUUGGACAUUUUACAAGCUUAAUUAGUGAUCCUCUGUAUUUGUGUCUGCAUACCUUAUUAUAGUAUUUUAACCGUUUCUUACCAUUUCUGAAUAAUGUCAACUUUUAUGCUAUUUUAGUGGUACAUAAGUGAACAUUCCAAGGGAUAUGAAAAGAUGUAGUUGGAUUUGACAGUUUCAACAAAAGUAUUUUUUUUUACAACUUUCAAUACUCACCUUAAGAUUUUGCACUUAUAUGACAGUGAAAAGAAAAUGCAUACAAAACAAUGUCCACGGGUUACCAUAUGAAUAGACAGAAUGUGCACAAAUGUAAAGAUAUGCACUGGCACACUUUAGUCAGUAUGGUGUAUGUUAGUAAAGUGUGAAAAUAAUGCACACAUUAGGAAAAGGAAGGUAAAAGUAUAUACAUUUAAUACAAAAAUUAAAAACAUGAACUUUUUCAAAGUCAUGAAAUAAGUAUGGGAAUAAAUGAAGUUGGAACUGGAAAAACAAGACAUGGAAAAAUUCUCAUCCCAGCACUUUACCUAUUAAAUGCCCAUCUUUUCUGGUAGAACAUCCAAUUGAAGAAUGGGUAACCAACCACCUGAUGCCAGGAGGAACUGCAGAUUUAUUUUACUUAAAAGAAACUGAAAUAUCACAGUAACAAAAUAUUCUUGCUAGUAUUUUUGCACUCACCAUGCUAGUGGUUGUAUUUUUCUAGGGUGGCAAGAGAAGGCAGACAAAAAUGCCAGUCCUAGAGAACCCAUUUCUCCAAUUCCUUAUAUACUCUGUGGCCAUGAGCCCACAGCUUUUUUCUUCCUUAUACCAAACUACACCAGUAACGUUAUGGUAGCAUAAUACCUCACAAUAGGGUUCCAGCCUCUGACUUUUGUAUGAAUUGAGUGCCCAGUUGGACUUUUUUCCUAGAAAAUACCAGUAAUAUACUAACACUACUAUCAUAUGCACAUUUCGCUUGGAGUAAUUGCCACUUCAGAGUUAUUUUCUAAGUAGAUAUGUAUGGGAUUGCACCAACAACAUUGCUUCAAACUUUCUUAUUCCUGUUGUGUAUAUCUUUCAAGUCAUUUUUUUAGUUAUUGUGACCCUAAAAUAAACCUAUCUCUGGGUUUUCUUGGUAAGAUUUGAGCAAAAAAAAAAAAACUACACCUUUGCCUCUCUCUGAGGAUGGAAGAAUGUGGUUUCCCCAACAUCACCCCAAGGGUUUCUGUAACUGAGCAGAGACUUGAACACUGGUCUCUAGAAUCAUCGUCCAGCAUGCAAAUCACAAUACCAUACUAGUUCUCAUUUGGCUUGCCAUUUCCUAUUUUACCUUUACUUAAAAAGUACAUUUACUUUAAAUUGUUUGAAAAGUAAAUCGAGAUAGUUUGCUAUACUUUACACAGCCUUCAGACUGUUCCAUUGACUAAUCUGUUGAAAAUGCAUCCACGUUCUCUGCGUUCCAUCUCUCCUGCACAUUUUGGAAUAGCAUUGAAAUGGGGGGGAGGGGGUUGGGUAAUCUUUCCCAUUUGACCAGCACUGUAUCAGAAGUGAAAGUCCCUAGUGGGUGAAGACCCUAGUGGGUGAAGACCCUAGUGGGUGAAGACCCAGGUAUUUAUCACUGUCCUGAAUGGAUGGAAUCCCACCAUGAUUCAACUCACGUAUCUCUAUGUGACUGUCCAGAAAAGGCUGUGAAAUGCAUAGUUCACAGAAAUACCUAUCUUUCAUGCAAAGUGUUUACAGAAAUGGAAAAUGGUAGCCUAUUAUUUCCACAGAGUGUAAGUUUCAUAAUCUAAAUCAGGCAUGGGAAAACUUUGGCCAUCCAGGUAUUUUGGACUUUAACUCCCACAAUUCCUAACAGCCUACUGGCUGUUAGGAAUUGUGGAAGUUGAAGUCAAAAACACUUGGAGGGCUGAAGUUUGCCCAUGCCUGAUCUAAAUGGUGCUAUAGUCUUGUCAAAUCUUAAAACAGCAUUAUGAAUUACCGAUGCUUCGUGUGUUAGUGCUUGCCCUUCUAUAGGUAAGUAGAUAGAUCAAAAUAGAACUACAAUAUCUAUAGUCCAGAAUGUGUUUGUGUAACAUCCAUGUGGUUUUCUUGUUGGUGCAUUUAUUGUGAGCUAUUCAAAAACAUUUAAUUAUGGAGCAACAUUCAAUGGUUAUUAAUAAGCGAAUAAACAUAAAUCUAAAGUGAAUUGCGCCACCAUUGUAGAAAGUGGGCAAAGUACAGGCAGUCCCCAAAUUACAAACAUUCAACUGAUAGACAACUCAUUGUUAAGAACAGGGGUGAGACAACAGGAAGUGAGAGAAAUCUACCACUCAGAAAGGAAAUUCACGCCUUGAAGAUUUAUCUUAGAGAAAAGGUGUCUCUACUGAAGCUUUAUUACCAAUCCUUGUUUCCACAAGAAGCCACAUUUUUCAAAAUCACAGGGACAGAAAAUGAGGUGAAAUCUUCUGAACCACAGGGGUGUUAAC